GACGAACGCUGGCGGCGUGCUUAACACAUGCCGGUCGAACGGUGAAGCGCCUUCCUUUUUGGUGGGUGUGGAUGAGUGGCGAACGGGUGAGUAACACGUGAGUAACCUGCCCCCUUCUUCUGGAUAACCGCAUGAAAGUGUGGCUAAUACGGGAUAUUCAGGGUCUGUCGCAUGAUGGGUCUGGGAAAGAUAUUGUUUCGGUGGGGGAUGGGCUCGCGGCCUAUCAGCUUGUUGGUGGGGUGAUGGCCUACCAAGGCGGUGACGGGUAGCCGGCCUGAGAGGGUGGACGGUCACACUGGGACUGAGACACGGCCCAGACUCCUACGGGAGGCAGCAGUGGGGAAUAUUGCACAAUGGGCGCAAGCCUGAUGCAGCGACGCCGCGUGAGGGAUGGAGGCCUUCGGGUUGUGAACCUCUUUCGCCAGUGAAGCAGGCCUGCCUCGUUUGUGGGUGGGUUGACGGUAGCUGGAUAAGAAGCGCCGGCUAACUACGUG
rnacentral:rRNA from 1 species